rnacentral:rRNA from 1 species
UACGAAGGGUGCAAACGUUGCUCGGAAUUAUUGGGCGUAAAGCGCACGUAGGCGGCUUUGCAAGUCCCAUGUGAAAUCCCACGGCUCAACCGUGGAAGUGCAUGGGAAACUGCAGAGCUUGAGUACUUAAGAGGAUCGCGGAAUUCCCGGUGUAGAGGUGAAAUUCGUAGAUAUCGGGAGGAACACCAGUGGCGAAGGCGGCGAUCUGGGAAGAUACUGACGCUGAGGUGCGAAAGCUAGGGGAGCAAACGGG